GCUCAAUUUUGAAAUCUCUCAGGUUCCCUGAGCGAAUUGUAGUUUCUAGAAACGUUUUCGGGGGCAGCCCGGGUAAAAGUCCGUUGGAACGCGGCAUCAUGGAGGGUGAGAAUCCCGUAUUUGAUCCGGUGUCUGCUCCUAUGUGAUACGUUUUCAAAGAGUCGGAUAGUUUGGGAUUGCUGUCCAAAAUGGGUGGUAAAUACCAUCUAAAGCUAAAUAUUGGCGAGAGACCGAUAGCGAACAAGUACCGUGAGGGAAAGAUGAAAAGAACUUUGAAAAGAGAGUUAAACAGUACGUGAAAUUGUCAAAAGGGAAACGCUUGAAACCAGUAUUGCGGUGCGCAAAUCAGUCGUUCACUAGAACGGUGCACUUUGCGUAUUGCGGGUCAGCAUCAGUUUCGUUCGGAGUAAAAAGCUAGAGGAAGGUAGCUCUUUUUUGAGUGUUAUAGCCUCUGGUCAUGCUUUGGACGGGACUGAGGUCUGCAGCCUUGCUUUUGGGACGUCGGCAGCCCUUUGAUAUCUGGCUGUAAACUGCUUGCAGAUUACGGCUCGGUUAAGAUGGCCCUGUCGGCUUACACAACUAGGCUUAGGAUGCUGACGAAAUGGUUUUAAACGACCCGUCUUGAAACACGGACCAAGGAGUCCAACAAUCCUGCGAGUGUUUGGGUGGCAAACCCGAGCGCGUAAUGAAAGUGAAUGUAGGAGGGACCCGUAAGGUGCACCUUCGACCGGUCUGGAUUUUUUUGAAAGAUCUGAGUAAGAGCAUGAUUGUUGGGACCCGAAAGAUGGUGAACUAUGCCUGAAUAGGGUGAAGCCAGAGG
rnacentral:rRNA from 1 species